GUGCCAGCAGCCGCGGUAAUACGAGAGGCCCAAACGUUAUUCGGAAUUACUGGGCUUAAAGAGUUCGUAGGCGGCGCAGAAAGUGGGGUGUGAAAGCCCUCGGCUCAACCGAGGAAUUGCGCUCCAAACUACUGUGCUUGAGGAAGCUAGAGGUGAGCAGAACUGAUGGUGGAGCGGUGAAAUGCGUUGAUAUCAUCAGGAAUACCGGAGGCGAAGGCGGCUCACUGGGGCUUUUCUGACGCUGAGGAACGAAAGCCAGGGUAGCGAACGGGAUUAGAUACCCCAGUAGUCC
rnacentral:rRNA from 1 species